rnacentral:lncRNA from 1 species
GGCUUGCAAUACAUUUAUUUGUGGUUAUUGGCUUUGAACUAGAGUUCAGCAACUUUCGAUGCUUUAUAUCUAUUUGUUUAUGUUUUAAGCCUUGUGUCAAUCUUUCGGGUUAUUAGAUAUAGGAAGAUGUGAUAUAUGUGCCAAUGAGACAAUUACAACUGAUUUUUGCAGUUUGUUCUUAUGUUGAGCGGUUAUAACAGUCCCAGAUUAAGAGAGGGAUGAGCACUCACAAAUAUUUUUAACCCCGUCAACAUCUUUAUGUGCUUGUCCGAAGUCAGGAGCUUGUCGGUA